GGUCAAUGGACCACUUGCUAUUUUGAAUGAGUACUACAACGUGUAUGUAACAGAACCUGAUGACGCAAAAUGGCGUCUUGAUAAUAUGCAUGAAACUUAUCUUUCUGAUAUGAACAGCAAAUACGUAUUUCCAAAUGUUUUUAUGAGUAUGGAGGAUACGAACAGGGUCUCACAGCUCGAUACGGAUAUCAAAAAAUAUGCAGAACAAAUGAAAGCAAGUUGGAUUUUAAACGGUGGAAUUGAAGAGGAAUGGGAUAGCUAUCUGCAAAAGAUGGAGGACUAUGGACUUUCAGAGUAUCUGGAAAUCAAACAGAGAUAUUUUGAUGCAUAUAUAGAGUCAUUAUCAGACGAGAAUUAGUAAAAAACAGGAGUGAUAAACAUGAGUGAAAUGUUAGAAAAAGCUAGAAAAUAUGAGAUGGAAGAAAGUAUGAAAAUAACACAGGAUAACAGACCGGUAUAUCAUUUUUCAAAUCCGGUUGGAUGGAUGAAUGAUCCUAAUGGUUUUUCUGAAUAUAAAGGGGAACAUCACUUAUUCUUCCAGUAUUAUCCUUAUGCAACACAUUGGGAUUCUAUGCAUUGGGGACACGCAAAAAGUGUGGAUUUUAUCAAGUGGGAAUACCUUCCUGUAGCAUUGGCACCAGAUCAGGACUAUGACAAUUUUGGCGUAUUUUCCGGCAGUGCGAUUGAAGAUGGAGAAAAGCAGCUACUGAUUUAUACAGGGGUAGAAGAAAAAGCAGCCCCAAAUGGGGAAAAAUGUAUCCGCCAGAAUCAAUGCGUUGCAAUAGGAUAUGGUGUUGAUUAUGAAAAGAUAGAAAAUAAUCCAGCUGUGACUGCGGAUAUGUUACCAGAAGGCAGUAGUUUGGAAGAUUUUAGAGAUCCAAAAGUAUGGAAGGAAAAUGGAAAAUACUAUAUGGUUGUUGGAAGCCGUCAUAGUGACGGAAGCGGCCAGAUUGCGUUGUUUUGUGCAGAAAAGCCGGAAAAAUGGGAAUUUGCAGGAAUUUUAGACCGUAGUGAAAAUAAGAUAGGAAGGAUGUGGGAAUGUCCAGACAACUAGGAGGUUGGCUCAGAAGCAGCCAUCCUUUAAAGAGUGCGUAACAGCUCACUAGUCGAAUGACUCUGCGCCGAUAAUUUACCGGGGCUAAGUAUAUUACCGAAGCUAUGGAUUUACGCGUAAGCGUGAGUGGUAGGGGAGCGUUCUAUGUGCGGAGAAGCGGUACCGUAAGGAGCCGUGGAGCGCAUAGAAGAGAGAAUGCCGGUGUGAGUAGCGAAACGUGGGUGAGAAUCCCACGCACCGAAAACCCAAGGUUUCCAGAGGAAGGUUCGUCCGCUCUGGGUAAGUCGGGACCUAAGGCGAGGCCGAGAGGCGUAGUCGAUGGACAACAGGUAGAGAUUCCUGUACUUACGGUAUGAAUGAUGGAGUGACGGAGAAGGCUAGCGGAUCCUGCUGAUGGAAAUGCAGGUGCAAGCGAGGUAGCCGACAGCCAGGCAAAUCCGGCUGUCGAAAGGCAAAGGCGUGAGGCGUAUGGAAAGCUGCGGCAAGUACAGAAGUCCGUGAAGCCAGCUUCCAAGAAAAGCUUCUAGUGAUAAUCAUACAGUAACCCGUACCGAAAAUGGACACACAUGGGUGAGGAGAGAAUCCUAAGGUGAGCGAGAGAACUAUAGCUAAGGAACUCUGCAAAAUGACUCCGUAACUUAGGGAUAAGGAGUGCUCAUAGAGAUAUGAGCCGCAGUGAAACGGCCCAAGCGACUGUUUACCAAAAACACAGCUCUAUGCUAAGUCGAAAGACGACGUAUAUGGGGUGACGCCUGCCCGGUGCUGGAAGGUUAAGAGGAUGUGUCAGCGCAAGCGAAGCAUUGAAUUGAAGCCCCAGUAAACGGCGGCCGUAACUAUAACGGUCCUAAGGUAGCGAAAUUCCUUGUCAGGUAAGUUC
rnacentral:rRNA from 1 species